rnacentral:rRNA from 1 species
GAUGAACGCUAGCGGGAGGCCUAAUACAUGCAAGUCGAACGGUAAGGUCCUUCGGGAUACACGAGUGGCGGACGGGUGCGUAACGCGUACGGAAUAUACCUUCAACAGGGAGAUACCUCCGGGAAACUGGAAUUAAUACCCAUAGUAUUAUAGAUUCGCAUGAAUUUAUGAUUAAAGCUCAGGCGGUUGAAGAUUAUCGUGCGUCUGAUUAGGUAGUUGGUAGGGUAAUGGCCUACCAAGCCAACGAUCAGUAGCUGGUCUGAGAGGAUGAUCAGCCACACUGGAACUGAGACACGGUCCAGACUCCUACGGGAGGCAGCAGUAGGGAAUAUUGGGCAAUGGAGGCAACUCUGACCCAGCCACUCCCGCGUGCGAAGGAAUAACGGCCCUAGUUGGGUUAGUAAACUGUCUUUUUAGUUAAGGGAAA